GCACUUACCUGGCAGGGGAGACGCCAUGAUCAAUCAGGUGGUUUUCCCAGGGCAGGUGAUUGUCUCUGAUAUGUCCUCCACAGGAGGUCUAUGUUGAGCAGAUUCUUUUUGGUGUUGGGUGGUGGAACCGGAGUGUGCUCCAUCCACUC
rnacentral:snRNA from 1 species